UACGGGGGGUGCAAGCGUUGUUCGGAAUCAUUGGGCGUAAAGCGCGCGCAGGCGGCUUGGUAAGUCAGAUGUGAAAUCCCUGGGCUUAACCCAGGAAGUGCAUUUGGUACUGCCUCGCUAGAGUACGGGAGAGGAAAGUGGAAUUCCUGGUGUAGAGGUGAAAUGCGUAGAUAUCAGGAGGAACACCGAUGGCGAAGGCAACUUUCUGGCUCGAUACUGACGCUCAGGCGCGAAAGCGUGGGGAGCAAACAGG
rnacentral:rRNA from 1 species